rnacentral:rRNA from 1 species
CCCUUAGAUGUUCUGGGCCGCACGCGUGCUACACUGAGUGGAUCAGCGGGUCAGGUUGCGCGAAAGCGUUUCCUAAUCUUUAAAUCCGCUCGUGAUGGGGAUUGACGGUUGCAAUUUUCUGUCAUGAACGAGGAAUACCUUGUAAGCGCGAGUCAUCAGCUCGCGUUGAUUACGUCCCUGCCCUUUGUACACACCGCCCGUCGCUACUACCGAUUGAAUGGUUUAGUGAGGACUCCUGAUUGGCGCCGCCGCCCCGGCAACGGAGCAGCGGACUGCCGAAAAGUUGUUCAAACUUGAUCAUUUAGAGGAAGUAAAAGUCGUAACA